rnacentral:lncRNA from 1 species
AGCACAGAAGACGAAGAGCUGGAAUAGAGCUCGCCUCGGCUCUGCUGGCCUUGGCUGCAGCUCUUCCAGAAACCCGGGGCGCCCACAGAAGAAUCUCUUACCUGGCUCUCUCUUCAGGGAUGACAUCAUCGGCUCACACCAGUCUUCCAGGACCACCUUCUGGAUGCCAAGGCUGCUGCUCGAGUACCUGCUGUGCACCUCUACCUCCUGAGCCAAGGAGCACGGAUUCCAGGAACCCACUACCAUACAGAGCAACUCCUUGUGGACCCCCCUGGGAUCAGGACAGCGAGGGACAAGCGACAAAGAGGAUCAUCAGUGGCCAGCUAGUUUCUCUGGGGUUCAAACCUUGAACCAGUGCCCUAGUGAGGGGGCACUGGCCAUGGCCCUUGACCUUUGCUCUGCUUGUGUCUUGAGUCUGAGCCCUUUCCUGUACAUCUGUGCUCGUGUUCAUCUGCUAGUGAACUGGAGUGCUGCCCUCCCCGAGGAGGGUCGUCCCUUGUGACUGAUCAUGCUGUCCUAACAAUGUCCUGAGCAAAAGGGUCCCUUUGGGAACCUCUCAGGAGGGGGACCCGGGUCAGGGGCGACCAGCAUCUUGCUGGCAACUCCGUGGGUGGGGUGGGGUGGGGUGCUUCCUUCUGGAAUGAGCACGUGGCUGACCCCCCAAGGCAUGUCCCCUCCCCCUCCUCCACCCACCUUCUCGGAGAUGUCCCUUUUGGGGUAGUGGGGACAUUAGGAGCAACCUCCUAGGGUUGUUGUGAGAAUUAAAUGAACUGCAGCAGCCUGAGGCAGGGCUGGGCAGAGACCUCAGCACAUGUUUGUUGAAAGGUUUGCAGGUGGAUCUAGUCCUCCCGUUCAUGGCUCAUGUGUCUCAACCAUUCUCUCGCAGACUCCUGCAGCCCCUAUGCCCAGGGCUCUCCUUGCGCCAGCCCCGGCUUCUCGAGGCCUGUCUACACUCGCUGCUUUCCUUCCUCACCUCCAAUUUCCCCUCCAACCCACUGCUUCCUGACUCGCUCUUCUCCAUCGAACGGCUCUCGCUCAGGCCUGUCGCGUCUUCCUGUGCCAUUUGCUGUUGUGCUCAGGUUCCACGAGCUGCCCAUCUCCACAGAAGAGCAGCUGGCAUUGCCCACCGGCCAUGCCGGCUGAAGAAAAGAAGACUGAGGACCCCAGGAUGCCCAGCGCGAGGACCCCAGGAAGCCCAGCGCGAGGACUCCACCCACGACGCCCAGCGCGAGGACUUCACGCACAACACGUUGCAACCCUCCUGGAUUAGGCCAAAGCCAUCAUCUGGAAUCCUGCGUGGGACCCUGGACACACGGACACAGACACCUGCCCCCAGGACCCUCCAACUGUAAAUCCCUCUACAGCCACGGGGACGCCUUGCACAUUUCCUGUGGGACAUGCUGGACCCAAGACUCUGGACCCUGGCCUCCCCUUGAGUAGAGAGACCCACCUACUGACUGAUGAACUGCGCUGACCCUGGGGUCAGGCAUGUGGCCUUGAUCCCUACCCAUGGACCCUGAGACUUGGGGGGGUGGGAGAAAGGCUGUUGUGUCUUCACUGUUGAGUCUACAUCUGUGAAAUGGGCUCAGGUUCCUACCUCACAGGGCUGUUGUGAGGCAGCCGCAAUGUGCUUAGAAGCAUGGGGCCUAGUGGCUCAUGGUGCUUUCAAUAAAUUUCUUGUUUUAACUAAAGCA